rnacentral:rRNA from 1 species
GACGAACGCUGGCGGCGUGCCUAAUACAUGCAAGUCGAGCGGACUUGAAGGAGUGCUUGCACUCCUGAGAGUUAGCGGCGGACGGGUGAGUAACACGUAGGCAACCUGCCCUCAAGACUGGGAUAACUACCGGAAACGGUAGCUAAUACCGGAUAAUUUAUUACAUAGCAUUAUGUGAUAAUGAAAGACGGAGCAAUCUGUCACUUGGGGAUGGGCCUGCGGCGCAUUAGCUAGUUGGUGGGGUAACGGCCCACCAAGGCGACGAUGGGUAGCCGACCUUGGAGGGUGAACGGCCGCACUGGGACUGAGACACGGCCCAGACUCCUACGGGAGGCAGCAGUAGGGAAUCUUCCGCAAUGGGCGAAAGCCUGACGGAGCAACGCCGCGUGAGUGAUGAAGGUGUUCGGACCGUAAAGCUCUGUUGCCAAGGAAGAACGUCUCAUAGAGUAACUGCUAUGAGAGUGACGGUACUUGAGAAGAAAGCCCCGGCUAACUACGUG